UACGAAGGGGGCAAGCGUUACUCGGAUUUACUGGGCGUAAAGGGUGCGUAGGUGGUUUGUUAAGUCUGCUGUGAAAUCCCCGGGCUCAACCUGGGAAUGGCAGUGGAUACUGGCGAGCUAGAGUGCGGUAGAGGGUAGUGGAAUUCCCGGUGUAGCAGUGAAAUGCGUAGAGAUCGGGAGGAACACCAGUGGCGAAGGCGGAUACCUGGACCAGCACUGACACUGAAGCACGAAAGCGUGGGGAGCAAACAGG
rnacentral:rRNA from 1 species